rnacentral:rRNA from 1 species
UGGGGAAUUUUGGACAAUGGGCGAAAGCCUGAUCCAGCAAUGCCGCGUGUGUGAAGAAGGCCUUCGGGUUGUAAAGCACUUUUGUCCGGAAAGAAAUCCUUGGCUCUAAUACAGUCGGGGGAUGACGGUACCGGAAGAAUAAGCACCGGCUAACUACGUGCCAGCAGCCGCGGUAAUACGUAGGGUGCAAGCGUUAAUCGGAAUUACUGGGCGUAAAGCGUGCGCAGGCGGUUUGCUAAGACCGAUGUGAAAUCCCCGGCUCAACCUGGAACUGCAUGGUGACUGGCAGGCUAGAGUAUGGCAGAGGGGGGUAGAAUUCCACGUGUAGCAGUGAAAUGCGUAGAAAUGUGGAGGAAUACCGAUGGCGAAGGCAGCCCCCUGGGCCAAUACUGACGCUCAUGCACGAAAGCGUGGGGAGCAAAACAGGAUUAGAUACCCCUGGUAGUCCACGCCCUAAACGAUGUCAACUAGUUGUUGGGGAUUCAUUUCCUUAGUAACGUAGCUAACGCGUGAAGUUGACCGCCUGGGGAGUACGGUCGCAAGAUUAAAACUUAAAGGAAUUGACGGGGUC